UACGUAGGUGGCGAGCGUUGUCCGGAUUUACUGGGCGUAAAGAGCGCGCAGGCGGUCGUUCAAGUCGCGUGUGAAAGCCCCCCGGCUCAACUGGGGAGGGUCACGCGAUACUGAUCGACUCGAAGGCAGGAGAGGGAAGUGGAAUUCCCCGGUGUAGUGGUGAAAUGCGUAGAUAUCGGGAGGAACACCUGUGGCGAAAGCGGCGCACUGGACCACAACGUGACGCUGAGGCGCGAAAGCUAGGGGAGCAAACAGG
rnacentral:rRNA from 1 species